rfam:Peniophora sp. CONT PENSPscaffold_137_Cont211, whole genome shotgun sequence.
GCCCGUUUAGCUCAGUGGUAGAGCGCGCCACUCGUACGCUUACGUAAUGGUGAGGUCGGUUGUUCAAUCCAGCCAAUGGGCA